GUCCGUCUAGCAGUCGAUAGAGCGCAAGGCUCUUAACCUUGUGGUCCUGGGUUCAAGUCCCAGGGUGGGCG
rfam:Ipomoea nil DNA, scaffold: scaffold3056, cultivar: Tokyo-kokei standard.